UUACAUUUUAUCAUAAAAUACCUCCUCAUUCACUAAAUAUUUAUCUCUCCUACUUGGGGUGAACAAUCCCCUAACACACUCAUACAAACAAAUCUACUUUUAAACGUUCUGUCUCUCGAGCAUCCGCUUGUUGUUUGUAGCUUUAGCCUGCUAGCGCCGCUGGUCAGCUAAAGCUACCAAACUCUUUCACUCACUUAUUUUCUCACUUUCUGGCUUUGCUCUUCACCUUGUACAAUGUCGCUUGCGUGUCUGUCCUUGAGUGCAGGAGAGGCAUCGAUGGAGGCGCUGGAGCUGGAGCUGGAAGCGGUGGAGUCCCAGAUUCGCUCGCUGGAGACGAAGCGAGAGGGCAUCAGAGCACUGCUCUUAACCCGUACUCGCUCGUCUGAGGUAAGUGUCCGAUACAACGACAAUCUCCCAGUUUCUUCAACCCCGCGUGUUUCUCUGUCCAGGCCCAGCGCACCGAGGACGCGGUUCGCCCAGGCGUCGUUCACGCCGACACCCGGCUACCACGGCCCCUGGGUGCAGCCGCGUAAGGUGCUUGCCAGGUCCCGGGGCAGAACGUCUCCUCCUCCGGUGUUCGAGAUCCCCACGGAGAACCGCUUCGCCCCUCUCCGCGAGACGGGUCGCGAUGUUGCCAUCAUUGGCGACUCAAUCGUCCGCCACGUCCGCUCCACUUCAUCCAAAGAUACCUACUAUCCUGAGCGCUGCCGAGAGCCUCGGUGCCGCCGUCCUCCACGUGGGGACGAACGACACCGGGCUCCGGCAGACGGAGAUCCUGAAGAAGGACUUCAGGAGCCUGAUCGAGACGGUUCGACGCACUUCGCCCGCCACGCAGAUCAUCGUUUCUGGACCGCUUCCUACCUACCGCCGAGGAAAUGAAAGGUUCAGUAGACUUUUUGCUCUGAAUGAAUGGCUAUUAACAUGGUGUGAAGAACAGAAAUUGCUCUUUGCCAAUAACUGGAAUCUUUUCUGGGAGCGUCCUAGGCUUUUCCGCGCUGAUGGGCUGCACCCCAGUCGAGCUGGAGCUGAACUCCUGUCGGACAACAUCACCAGAACACUUCGCUCUAUCUGACUAGCCCUCAGACUAUGCAGAGUCACUGAUUCGAUCCAAGACCAACGACGAGAUGAUCCCAAGGUUUCCAUAUCCUGGACCUGGCCGAAUCCUGAACAACUACUGCGAUGGUCAUGGAAGAGUGGAGAACAUGAGACUGUUUCCUAUGACGCUCCAGAGACAGACGAGUCUUCGCUGAGGCCAGCUUCCAGCCUCCGCCACUGAGACUGCAGCUCUGCACAAGACGUUUGGCCAGCGGAGAAAUUAAAAUGGUCGUGCCCAACUGAGUCUGGUUUCUCUCAAGGUUUUUUUUCUUCACUUCUGCCUUUAGUGAAGUUUUUUUUCCCUCUCCGCUGUCGCCACUGGCUUGCAUGGUUCAGGAUCUGUAGAGCUGCGCAUCGAUGGAUUUGCUCUUCAGUAUUUGGACUCUCAGUAGUGAUUAUUAAACCACACUGAACUA